rnacentral:rRNA from 1 species
UACGGGGGGGGUAAGCGUUGUUCGGAAUUACUGGGCGUAAAGGGCUCGUAGGCGGCCAACUAAGUCAUACGUGAAAUCCCUCAGCUUAACUGGGGAACUGCGUGUGAUACUGGAUGGCUUGGAUUUGGGAGAGGGAUGCGGAAUUUCAGGUGUAGCGGUGAAAUGCGUAGAUAUCUGGAGGAACACCGGUGGCGAAGGCGGCAUCCUGGACCAAUAUUGACGCUGAGGAGCGAAAGCCAGGGGAGCAAACGGG